AUUGAACGCUGGCGGCAGGCCUAACACAUGCAAGUCGAACGAGUGGCGGACGGGUGAUUAAUGUCUGGGAAACUGCCUGAUGUAGGGGGAUAACUACUGGAAACGGUAGCUAAUACCGCAUACCAUCGGAUGUGCCUAGAUGGGAUUAGCUAGUAGGUGGGGUAAAGGCUCACCUAGGCGACGAUCCCUAGCUGGUCUGAGAGGAUGACCAGCAACACGGGAACUGCGACACGGUCCAAAUUCCUACGGGAGGCAGCAGUGGGGAAUAUUGGACAAUGGGCGCAAGCCUGAGGCAGCCAUGCCGCGUGGAUGAAGAAGGCCUUCGGGUUGUAAGGUACUUUCAGCGGGGAGGCGUUACCCGCAGAAGAAGCACCGGCUAACUCCGGGCCAGCCGCCGCGGUAAUAC
rnacentral:rRNA from 1 species